UUCAGUUUGUCCAUAUUCUUAGACAUGGAGACAUAUUGGAUUUGGAUUCUUAUGGGAAUCGUAGUGUUGAAACUCUUAUUCUGGACGAUAUUUUGUUGGAAUCGGAGAUCAGGAGCUGCGGAUCUCAAUGACCGCGUGGUGAUUGUAGAACACGAGUACCCGCCGGACUGGUCUGGACCACAAAUGACACGUCAGUAUGACCAGCGUCACCCAUCCGCGUAUGAACAGACCUGCAAGCCAGGCCCGGGGCUCAGCCAACCCAUAACAGCACUGCCAAUUUAGUCCACGAGGCGCCAUCUUCAAACCAUGACAUACAUCAUAUAUAAUCUGGAGGCAUAGAUUGGGAUCAUAGCCUUUUUAUUUUACCACAAACUAUACUGAAUCAUAGUCAUGUGUCCACCCUAAUUCUCGUAAAGAAUUUGUAUUAAACCAGUAGAUAUUCUAGCUGCUUCGUGUUGUAUUUGUGCAACCUGAUAGGAAUCCAAAUCUGCAGUUAUCACUUACUUCAGAUGCAUAUUCUAAGACAACCUCUGUGUCGGCCAGCAGUGCAGCGCUAGCACAGCAUACAGAAAGAACCAGGCUGAUUUUAAGAUUAUUAUUAAUGGCAUUCAUUAUGAAAAACCCUUUGUUUUGGAGCUUAUUCAAAUACAAUAAUUGUAAAUUGGAUACUACAUUUUUGCUUUUGUUUAUCAGAGUUGUGGAAGUAAUUCCGUCUUGUUACACAAAAUUCUAUCCUGCCUUUAGGUUUCUCUUCAGGCCUACAAGUUCCUGUGCCAUCUGACUGGGAUCUGCAUCACGUCAUCAUGUGAUACCAUACCAUCAUGUAACUGGCCGCUUGUCACGCUGUAAUUCCUUGGUUAAAGUUAUUUAUAGUUCAGUCUUAUACUAUUAUUGACGAUUUACUAUCAGUAUUUUUAUGCUGGUUGCUGUUACGAAAACCCUGACUUUGGAGACCGAAAUUCAUGGAACGUUAACAUUAAUUUAUAUUUUUGGUCAUUUAAAAACAUAAUUGGAGAUAACUAGUCCCCUGGUUUACACACAAGAAAGAAAUGUUGGUUCCUUUCAAAUAGAAACAUGCAGCGCCUUGCAAUUCCUAUAUAUACCUAUAUUGUAUCUUACAAUUGAAUCGUCAUGUCUCAGUAACUGUUACCACAGUGUCCAAUAGUAGUAACACUGUCAAGCUGCUUUGCAUAUAACUUCCUGCAUUUGUGUAUUGUUUGUGUCAUGUCGUCCAUCAGCUUCUUUACCGUAAUAGACAUUUAUAGCAAGCCUGUCCAUAUUUUAAAGGGCAGUCUUAUAAAAGUAAUAUUCCGAGAUCAUGUAAAUCACGUAAUCCAUAUUUCGUCUUAAUUGUUAAGAUUUAGACUUAAGAUCAACUUUUGCCUUAAUCUGCAGUGCUCCUAUGCCCCUGUACCGGAGAUUUCUCCCUACCUCAAGACAAAGCUUUCUAUGAAAAGAGGUUGAGAUGUAGUUGAACGACAUUAACUUUUGUGCUGUUUACUUCUAUUUUGAUACGUGUUUUGUUACAAGCUUUCAAGUAAAGACAUAUUUUUAAGUA
rnacentral:lncRNA from 1 species